rnacentral:rRNA from 1 species
GAUGAACGCUGGCGGCGUGCCUAAUACAUGCAAGUCGAGCGAGGUAGAUUUGAAAGCUUGCUUUCAAAUCUACCUAGCGGCGGACGGGUGAGUAACACGUGGGUAACCUGCCCUUUAGAUUGGGAUAACAUCAGGAAACUGGUGCUAAUACCGAAUAGGAAGAAGAGUCGCAUGACUUUUCUUGGAAAGGUGGCGUAAGCUACCACUAAAGGAUGGACCCGCGGCGGAUUAGCUAGUUGGAGGGGUAAAGGCCUACCAAGGCGACGAUCCGUAGCUGGUCUGAGAGGAUGACCAGCCACACUGGGACUGAGACACGGCCCAGACUCCUACGGGAGGCAGCAGUGGGGAAUAUUGGACAAUGGGCGAAAGCCUGAUCCAGCAAUGCCGCGUGUGUGAAGAAGGCCUUAGGGUUGUAAAGCACUUUCAGUGGGGAGGAAGUUGUAGGUGUUAAUACCAUCUGCAAUUGACGUUACCCACAGAAGAAGCACCGGCUAACUCUGUGCCAGCCGCCGCGGUAA